rnacentral:rRNA from 1 species
UACGGAGGGGGCUAGCGUUGUUCGGAAUUACUGGGCGUAAAGCGCACGUAGGCGGCUUUGUAAGUUAGAGGUGAAAGCCCGGGGCUCAACCCCGGAACUGCCUUUAAGACUGCAUCGCUUGAAUCCAGGAGAGGUGAGUGGAAUUCCGAGUGUAGAGGUGAAAUUCGUAGAUAUUGGGAAGAACACCAAUGGCGAAGGCAGCUCUCUGGACCGUUACUGACGCUGAGGCGCGAAAGCGUGGGGAGCAAACAGG